UGCCAGAGAGCCUUGCAGAAGCACAGCUGU
rnacentral:piRNA from 1 species